rnacentral:rRNA from 1 species
ACGAACACUGGCGGCGUGCUUAACACAUGCAAGUCGAACGGAAAGGCCCUGCUUUUGUGGGGUGCUCGAGUGGCGAACGGGUGAGUAACACGUGAGUAACCUGCCCUUGACUUUGGGAUAACUUCAGGAAACUGGGGCUAAUACCGGAUAGGAGCUCCUGCUGCAUGGUGGGGGUUGGAAAGUUUCGGCGGUUGGGGAUGGACUCGCGGCUUAUCAGCUUGUUGGUGGGGUAGUGGCUUACCAAGGCUUUGACGGGUAGCCGGCCUGAGAGGGUGACCGGCCACAUUGGGACUGAGAUACGGCCCAGACUCCUACGGGAGGCAGCAGUGGGGAAUAUUGCACAAUGGGCGGAAGCCUGAUGCAGCAACGCCGCGUGCGGGAUGACGGCCUUCGGGUUGUAAACCGCUUUCGCCUGUGACGAAGCGUGAGUGACGGUAAUGGGUAAAGAAGCACCGGCUAACUACGUG